rnacentral:lncRNA from 1 species
UUUGGUUAGGAUUUGAUUCAAGGUUAGGGUUUGGUUAGGAUUCGAUUUAGGGUUAAGAUUUGGUUAGAGUUUGAUUUAAGAUUUAGGAUUAGGAUUAAAAUUUGAUUAGGAUUUGAUUUAGGAUUAGAAUUUAGGAUUUGGUUAGAGUUUGAUUUAAGAUUAGGAUUUAGGAUUUGAUUAAGAUUUGAUUUAGAAUUAGGGUUUGAUUAAGGAUUUAAGAAUUGGUUAGAGUUUAAGAUUUGAUUAGGUUUUGAUCAAAAUUAAAUUAAGAGUUUAAGGUUUUAUUUGAGUUUGUUUAAGAUUUAAGAUUUAGUUAGUUUUUGGCCUAAAGUUUGAAUGAAGUAAGAUUUUAACUAGGAUAAAAUUAACAUUGAAUUGAGAUGUAUUUGAGAUAUGUUUGUAAUCAUUCUUAUAUUUCUUUAAGAUAUCUUAUUAUUUCUUUGGAAUUCUUUUGAGGUUUCUUUGAAUUUGAUUAAAGCUUGUUUAGCAUUAUUAUUGUUCUAUUAAAAUUAGGAUUUUGUUGUUACAAUUUCUAUUCUACCUUCCACAGCCAGGUGCCUGGAGCAUUCUCAAGCAAGACUUCACGUAUUAUGACACCAAGAUGACAAGAAGCUUGAGUU